AUGUUGUUAUGAGAUCUUCGACGUAACAAUGAAAAUCAUUGAAAAGAACGUCGAUGUUGUCAAGUUCACCAAUUUCGCCAGUGGCACCUUCUGUGAUGGAUUUAAUGUCGCCAAUGGCAACCUUGAUAAUGCCAACAAUACUGACGACAUUAUUGCCGGAUA